GAUGAACGCUGGCGGCGUGCUUAACACAUGCAAGUCGAACGGAGUUGUUUCGCUGACGAGGCUUCGGCCAAAUCUUGAAACAACUUAGUGGCGGACGGGUGAGUAACGCGUGGGUAACCUGCCAUAUACAGGGGGAUAACACUUAGAAAUAGGUGCUAAUACCGCAUAAGCGCACAGAGCUGCAUGGCUCAGUGUGAAAAACUCCGGUGGUAUAUGAUGGAUCCGCGUCUGAUUAGCUAGUUGGUGAGGUAACGGCCCACCAAGGCGACGAUCAGUAGCCGGACUGAGAGGUUGAACGGCCACAUUGGGACUGAGAUACGGCCCAGACUCCUACGGGAGCAGCAGUCGGGAAUAUUGCGCAAUGGAGGAAACUCUGACGCAGUGACGCCGCGUAUAGGAAGAAGGUUUUCGGAUUGUAAACUAUUGUCGUUAGGGAAGAUACAAGACAGUACCUAAGGAGGAAGCCCCGGCUAACUAUGUGCCAGCAGCCG
rnacentral:rRNA from 1 species